GGCACUUACUUUGUUUCCAGGCACGUAGAACCGGGUAGCAUUCUGUUCAGAAAUGUUUAAGGCAUUUUAACUAAAAAUGUAAUGGUGAUUUAUAAUUAUAAGUACCUUAUAUAUAUGGAAGGGGUUGGUAAAUUAAAGCAGUUUCCCACAGCAGCCUCUGGCAGGCUGUUUACAACAAAGAGUAACUAACAUUUGAGGGAACAAAGUGUAAUGAUAGUAGUAAUGAGCAAGGUAUAUUAAUAGCAACAUCUAUAAUUUAUUGCUAUUUUCUCUAUUUUAUGUGUCACUGGAAGCCAAAAUAGUGAUGUGGACCGGAGAAUGAAGGUCACAAAACUCAGACAAGGAAGCUCCUGUUUGGUCACGGUCGGGCUUCUGCAUGCAUACUUCCAGAAUUAUGUGUCACUCAGCAAAGAAUAGAUGUUAUGCUCAGCCUUGGUCGUUUUAAUUAGCAUCAGCAAACUGACCCAUGCCGGUGUCCAGCAGGCAGGGUGGGCCAGAUCAUGUUGCCAGGACUGAGGAGGGGGAUGCAGCUUUCUUCUUGUAAGGCAAGAGAAGUCAAAGGGGAUUUGUUCUAAACCAUAUUUGAGGUCUUCUAUAAUCAGGGCAGAACAACAAAGCACAGAGCCUGCAGAUCUUACAUUUACUAUACAUCCAAAACUUUGCUAGGUCAGAGAAGAAGACGAGGCUCUGAAAUCAAGCCCAGAUUUUUCACUAUUACAUAAAGCAAACAAUUCACAGAUGACACAUUCUCUCAUGCCUCGAUGCCUUUCUCUGGAUCCAAAAGAUUAAUUUCCUCAACUGGACUAAGCUUGUAUUCCUUCACAGUUGUGCUUUCCCAUGCUGCUGGCAACAGCAGAUUGACUAGAAUGAGGAGUGGCUGCUGCAGGGGAAGCAUUACAGAUAAAAACAAAAACACAAACGGAAUGGGUUUGAAGGAUUCUAGAACACUUUGCUGCUAGGAGAAGCUGAAGAGCAGAAAAAAAUAUAAUGAAAGAACAGUAACUCUGAAACUUGGUGACUGCAUGCAUGAGAAACGGUGGCAAUGAGAACACGUGAAAGACCUGGAAACAAAGCAAAGUUUUAUGUGAGACUUUCCCUGCUACCUCAAAAGAAACAUAAGAAAAUUCCUUUUCAUAUCCCUGCAAAAAAGAAAAAGGCUGAAAUUAGAGAUCCAAGUAUUGCACUUUAAAAAAGUACAUACACUGCUUAAGAUUAUGGAUUUCCAACGAGACAGUGAGUCAUUUACUGCAGCACUUCAGCAGACAGUAGCCACCAGGAAAAGCUUAAGAGAGAGAGAAGGAAUCUCAUUCACCAACAGAGGUAACUUUGCCAUUGUGCAAAAGCAGGGACUGUGCUCUGUUAAUGAAGGUGAUUUGACACCCCCAUCAGACUCCUCUGGAUGUUGAUUCCAGAUAUGCAUUUGUCACUGCUGUCCAUUCUGGCAACACACUACUUUGUAGGUCAGUGCUUCCUCCACCAAGUCUUCUUCUAGUGAAUGCCUUUAAUAGGUUUGCUUGUUGCAAUGACAAUGGUUACAAGAGGGGGCCUGAAGCCCUACUUUCUAGUUCUGUUCCCUAGAGGAAAUAAGCAAUCUGAGAGAAGGAUUAAGAUCCACUGAAAAACUAAGACUUCAAAUUUUGAACAUCCUAACAAACAUCAUUUUCCAGCAUUUGGGCUGUCGUCUCAUUCUCUUGAAUUCAAGCGAAAAACUGUUGCUACUGUGACUAUCUAAAGACUUUUUCCAUCUUACAUUUUGUUCCUUGCUUUUGCUGUUUUCAAUUCCCAUGCCAAAGUUUCUCCUGUUUAUUCUAAUUGUUUUAGUGUGUCUGACUCUCAUUGGUUUAUAUGUUUAGUCUUGUCCUGAUUUAGUAUGAAUUAAAACACUGCCACGAUCAGGCUGCAAAUAUGAGUCAGAACAGAAACUAUUUAAAUAAUACUAUGGAUGGUACCCAUCUGGCUUGAUAUCUAGAUCAUAUAGAAUAAUGCUGUUUUUGUUUUCUGCUACUGUUGUCUGGAAUUGCCAAUGAAGUGUUGAUUGUGAUUGUGACCACAAGUAUGUUUUGUUCCUGGUCCUGUUAAGCCAAAAGAGUGUGGUUUACUGCAUGUAUGUACGUGAGGUUGUUUUGAUUAUACUAAAUUCACUUUAAAAAACCCACAUUUUGCCACUGCAGCGCUACAGGACAAUAAGAAAAGAAUUUCCAAUGAGAACAGUAUUUUAAAAGCAAACCACUGGGCUCCUUCUUUUUAAAAGAAUCUUAAGGGACGCUACCCUUUCUUCUGAAUUUGAUUAUUUCUCAAAAUUACAUGUGAAUACU